rnacentral:miRNA from 1 species
GCAGACACAUUCCAGCCAAUCAGCAGCAGACUCUCCCUCCCAGACCCUCCCACCUCCUGGACAGCAUCCAUUUUACAUUCAUUGUGAAGCUGCAUACUUAGUUGUAGCUGUCCAGGAGGUGGGAGGGUCUGGGAGGGAGGGUCUGCUGCUGAUUGGCUGGAAUGUGUCUG